AUACUUACCUUGCAGAGGAGAUCCCUUGAUUACCAUGGUGGUUUUUCCCAGGACAAGGCUUAUACACUGCACUCUGGGUGUGCUGAUCCCUGAAGUUUCCCCGAUGUGGGAAACUUGACUAUAUAAUUUGUGGUAAUGGGGGACUGCAUUUGUCCUCUUCCCUG